GUUCGCUUAUUUAAGAAACGACAAGAUCUUAAGGCCGAGGGAAGUGUCUGUCUGCCUUUGGGGACGGGAGGAGGCCGAGGGUCCAGGGUGGGGUUGGGCUUGCCCCACAUGCACUUGAGACCCGCACACACGUUUAGGUGAUUAUAACAAAAUCAAAGCCUAAAAGUCAACUCCGUUUUUUUUGUUUGUUUGUUUGUUUGUUUUAUGUUUUUGAGACAGGGUCUUGCUCUGUCGCCCAAGCUGCAGUGCAGUGGCGAGGUCACGACUCACUGCCACCUCGGCCUCCCAGGCUUAGGCAAUCCUCCCACCUCAGCCUGUUGGGUAGCUGGGACCUCAGGCAUGUGCCACCAUGCCCAGCUAAUUUUUGUAUUUUGUGUGUCUUUUUGUUUUUUCACUGUGAGUAUACGUUAGUCAUUUUUCUUAACAAUUGAAACUUGGAACUCUGGGGAUUCAGAAUUAACAGCCUUGGCUGUGAGCUUCUUAUUGAUACCAGAAAAAGUUUGGACCUUGCGUUCCACGUUGUUCUGCUGGGCUUUGUCCGAAUGAACCCUUGUGAGCUGCUGUGUCCAUUUCACGCGGAUUCUCCUGCCCACAAUUUCACCUGGGAAGACCGAGUCCUCGAGGAUUCCGACGUGCGCAGCUGUCGGAGCGUGGAUCCUGGGACGCUUUUGCUUAUUUUUUGUACACCUUUUUUGAGUUGGUUUAGGCAGAAUUUUCCUCUAAGCAAUAGACAACAUACUUACCAGUGAACUUUUUCUCUAAUUCACGUACUAGCCAGACUUGGAUGUUCUGGAAUAAUUUCAGUGGCAGAACAGGAACAAAGAUUAUGAUAACUUCCUCUUUUUUUUCUUUUUUUUUUUUUUCUUUUUUGAGACGGAGUCUUGCUCUCUCGCCCAGGCUGGAGUGCGGUGGCACGAUCUCGGCUCACUGCAAGCUCCAUCUCCCGGGUUCUCGCCAUUCUCCUGCUUCAGCCUUCUGAGUAGCUGGGACUACAGGCGCCCACCACUACGUCCGGCUAAUUUUUUGUAUUUUUAGUAGAGACUGGGUUUCACCGUGUUAGCCAGGAUGGUCUCGAUCUCCUGACCUCGUUGAUCCGCACGCCUCAGCCUCCCAAAGUGCUGGGAUUACAGGUGUUAGCCACCACAGCCGGCCCUCUUUUUUUUGAGAUGGAGUCUCGCUUUGUUGCCCAGGCUGGAGUGCAGUGGCGCAAUCUUGGCUCACUGCAGCCUCUGCCUCCCGGGUUCAAGCGAUUCUCCUGCUUCGGCCUCCUCUGAGUAGCUGGGAUUACAGGCAUGUGGCAUCACACCCAGCUAAUUUUUGUAUUUUUAGUAGAGAUGGGGUUUCACCAUGUUGGCCACGCUGGUCUUGAGCUCCUGACCUCGUGAUCUGCCCGCCUCAGCCUCCCACAGUGCUGGGAUUCCAGGCGUGAGCUGCUGCACCUGCCCAUGAUAACUUUCUCACCACCACCAACUUCAGUUUCCCUCACUGCUGUAAUAAUCAGCUCCCUGAGCUGGGCCUUGAGGUCCGAGUUCAUCUCCAGCUCCAGAAGAAUCUAAGAAGGCAAGAACAGCAGGGUCAACCCUCAGUGCAUGUAUGAGCACCCCCGGCCUCAUUUUUGUGUUUUCUAUAAAGAUGGGGUCUCGCUGUGUUGCCCAUGCUGGUCCUGAACUCCUUACCUCAAGUGAUCCUCCUGCCUCGGCCUCCUAAAGUGCUGGGAUUACAGCCAUCAGCCGCCGUGUCCGGCUUUAAAAAGCAAUCCUAAAAAUCGUAAACAAAAUGACAUAGAGGAACCUUAUUGCGCAUCGAGCCAUGCAAGAAAGGAGCCGUUUAUUUCCAGCAAGUUUAAAACAUCAAUUUGAUCUCCAGCCAUGGUCGAUGAGAUGUUAGAAAACCAACUCUCUUGCUGACAACAACGAGAAAAUCUUGAUACCAUUUAGCAAAAAGAAGUCUGUGGGGGAGGCGUUGGAGAGUGAUGGAGCUGCCAGGGCCUGAGGCACCCAGCUUCCGGAGCCUCUGGCAGCCCGGGGAGUGCAGUGGUGCGAUCUCAGCUCACUGCAACCUCCGCCUCCCGGGUUUAAGUGAUUGUCCUGCCUCAGCCUCCCGAGUAGCUGGGAUUACAGGCGUCCGCCACCAUGCCUGGACGUCCCAGUGAUCGGGAGGAGCGGGAAGAGCUUCAGCUACAACCAGGACGUGGUGCUGCUGCUUCUGACAGACGGAGUCCUGUUCCACCUUCAGAGCGUCACGGCGUACGCCCUCAUGGGGAAAAUCUCCCCGGUGACUUUCAGUGUUUUAACUCAAAUGGGUGAUGAAAAGGACUCUUGGAAAGUGAAAACUUUAGAUGAAAUUCUUCAGGAAAAGAAACGAAGGAAGGAACAAGAGGAGAAAGCAGAGAUAAAACGCUUAAAAAAUGUAAGCCAUAUUUUUUAAGUAAGUGGUUUUCUUAAAGGAGAUUUAAUUUCUUUGCCCUCAUUUUUCCAUUAGAACAACGCUUCUUCGGUGAAGUUCUUUUGUACUUCCAAAUGUCGCAGUCUGAUGACCGGGAUUCCAAGCGGGAUUCCCUUGAGGAGGGGGAGCUGAGAGAUCACCGCAUGGAGAUCACAAUAAGGAACUCCCCGUAUAGAAGAGAAGACUCUAUGGAAGACAGGGACCGCUUGGAGCAGUUAGAAAGGAAGCGGGAGCGGGAGCGCAAGAUGCGGGAGCAGCAGAAGGAGCAGCGGGAGCAGAAGGAGCGCGAGCGGCGGGCGGAGGAGCGGCGCAAGGAGCGGGAGGCCCGCAGGGAAGUGUCUGCACAUCACCGAACGAUGAGAGAGGACUACAGCGACAAAGUGAAAGCCAGCCACUGGAGUCGCAGCCCGCCUCGGCCGCCGCGGGAGCGGUUCGAGUUGGGAGACAGCCGGAAGCCAGUAAAAGAAGAGAAAAUGGAAGAAAGGGACCUGCUGUCCGACUUACAGGACAUCAGCGACAGCGAGAGGAAGACCAGCUCGGCCGAGUCCUCGUCAGCGGAAUCAGGCUCAGGUUCUGAGGAGGAAGAGGAGGAGGAGGAAGAGGAGGAGGAGGAAGGGAGCACCAGUGAAGAAUCAGAGGAGGAGGAGGAGGAAGAGGAGGAGGAGGAGGAGGAGACCGGCAGCAACUCUGAGGAGGCGUCAGAGCAGUCUGCCGAAGAAGUAAGUGAGGAAGAAAUGAGUGAAGAUGAAGAACGAGAAAAUGAAAACCACCUCUUGGUUGUUCCAGAGUCACGGUUCGACCGAGAUUCCGGGGAGAGUGAAGAAGCAGAGGAAGAAGUGGGGCUGCCGGAGCGUCGAGGAGUUCCAGUGCCUGAACAGGAUCGAGGAGGGCACCUAUGGAGUGGUCUACAGAGCAAAAGACAAGAAAACAGAUGAAAUUGUGGCUCUAAAGCGGCUGAAGAUGGAGAAGGAGAAGGAGGGCUUCCCGAUCACGUCCCUGAGGGAGAUCAACACCAUCCUCAAGGCCCAGCAUCCCAACAUCGUCACCGUUAGAGAGAUUGUGGUGGGCAGCAACAUGGACAAGAUCUACAUCGUGAUGAACUAUGUGGAGCACGACCUCAAGAGCCUGAUGGAGACCAUGAAACAGCCCUUCCUGCCAGGGGAGGUGAAGACCCUGAUGAUCCAGCUGCUGCGUGGGGUGAAGCACCUGCACGACAACUGGAUCCUGCACCGUGACCUCAAGACGUCCAACCUGCUGCUGAGCCACGCCGGCAUCCUCAAGCCUUCCACAGCUUCGUGGGCCCUGGCCCUCCUGAACGCCUCUCCUGGCCUCUUAGGAAUACUCCACAGCCGUGGACAUGUGGUCAGUGGGCUGCAUCUUCGGGGAGCUGCUGACUCAGAAGCCUCUGUUCCCCGGGAAGUCAGAAAUCGAUCAGAUCAACAAGGUGUUCAAGGAUCUGGGGACCCCUAGUGAGAAAAUCUGGCCCGGCUACAGCGAGCUCCCAGCAGUCAAGAAGAUGACCUUCAGCGAGCACCCCUACAACAACCUCCGCAAGCGCUUCGGGGCUCUGCUCUCAGACCAGGGCUUCGACCUCAUGAACAAGUUCCUGACCUACUUCCCCGGGAGGAGGAUCAGUGCUGAGGACGGCCUGAAGCAUGAGUAUUUCCGCGAGACCCCCCUCCCCAUCGACCCCUCCAUGUUCCCCACAUGGCCCGCCAAGAGUGAGCAGCAGCGUGUGAAGCGGGGCACCAGCCCGAGGCCCCCUGAGGGAGGCCUGGGCUACAGCCAGCUGGUGAGGGGCCUGGCGGGUGGGGCGUGCCCACAGGUGGGGCUGGCUUGGGCAGGGUCCUCACGGUAGCCGACUCGUCCCAGGGUGACGACGACCUGAAGGAGACGGGCUUCCACCUUACCACCACGAACCAGGGGGCCUCUGCCGCGGGCCCCGGCUUCAGCCUCAAGUUCUGAAGGUCAGAGUGGACCCCGUCAUGGGGAGAACUCAGCCGGGACCACAGGCGCGGCUACUGCGGCUGGAGCUGCGAUGAGACUCGGAACUCCUCGCCUUAUUUUGUGCUCCAUGUUUUGUUUUUGUAUUUUGGUUUGUAAAUUUGUAGAAUUAAAUCAUUUUCCUUGUUGUGG
rnacentral:sRNA from 1 species